CCAUUGAACAUGUCAACUUAGACCUUAGGCCCCGUUUGGUUCGGGGGAUAAGUGGGGAUAACGAAAGUUAUCCCCGCUAUUCCGCCAAACGAAAUUAUUUUUUACCGGGAUAUUUUAUUCCGGUCAAAGCUUGCUAUUCCCGGUUAUCCCGGAAUAGCAAGCUUUUUACUAUUCCACUAUUUUGGUGGAAUAGUGCUAUUCUCAUGCUUAAUUUCAAACUUAAUUAAAAUUAUAAAAUAAAUUAAAACUAAAUUAUAUAAAUAUAAUAUAUUAUAUAUUAUAAUACAUUAUUUUAUUAUAAAAUUAUUAAUUGUGCUAUACUAAUACAUAUUAUUUAUAUUUAAAUAUUAUAAUAAAUUUUAUAAUAAAUUAUUUUUAAAUAUUAUAAUAAAUUAUAUUUAAAUAUUAAAAUAAAUUAAAAUUUAAAAAUUAAUUUUAUUUAAAACUUAAAAUAUUAUAAUAAAUUAUAUUUAAAAUUUAAAAUUUAAAUAAAUUUAAAAUUUAAAAUUUAAAUUUUAAAAUUUAAAUUUUAAAUUUUACAUUUUUAAAUUUUAAAUUUUAAAUUUUAAUUUCAAAUUUUGAAAUUUAAAAGUUAAAAUUUUAAAAUUUAAAAUAUAAAUAUAAAAUAUAAAAAUUUAAAUUCUAAUAUAAAUAAAAAAGUGAUAAUAUUAUUAAUUUUUAUUUAUAACUACCCACUUUAAAUCUUAUUUCAUCUUACCUAACCAAAUGUUAUUUUUCUUAUUCCCAGAAAUAACCCAAUUUUUAUCCAAACGCAAAAUUGAUCUAAUCCCCGCUUAUACCUCAAUUUAUACCUAUCCCUGGAAUGUCCACUUUUUGCUUAUCCCCGAACCAAACGAUACCUAAUUCGUCUAAUUCCCGAAGGUUUUUUUUAUACAUUGUCAUAUUAAUUU
rnacentral:lncRNA from 1 species